rnacentral:lncRNA from 1 species
CUCAGGGGAGGGAAAUCAAGAGUGGAGAGUAGAGGAGAAAGACCGACUGGACUGCAGCCAUCCCUCAAAUGAGCCCCCAUGGAGAAGACUUGGAGACGUGAGCUGGGGCUUCCGGUGGAUGCGUAUUAAACACCUUGGACUGAAAGCUGAGGUCAUGGAUUACUUUCUCAUUGCUGUCAAAGAAUCUGCCAGCAAGAGCCGCCUGAGAGAACAGACAAUGGAGCUCUAUGUACCUCUGCAGGAAAAGAACAAAAAUUCCGACACUUCAAUGUUAACUGCUGGGAUCCGCAGCCACCCCGGGGCAUCCCGGAGAUCACCCAACACAGAAGACAUCUUCAGAGCUUAAAUUAGCUUGCAAGUAUCAAAAAGAUGUGCGUGGACCCCAGGAGUCCCAGUAGACCAGCCAUCGCCAGCUGUGGUUUGCCCGCCGACUCCACACCACAGCUCAGAGGUAUUACUUUCCAGGUGUUUAGUCCACAACUACGGAGCUGGCGAGGAUCUCCAGCUCAGUUUGCUGUGCU